GGAAGCAUGGUUCUGUAGUGGUUGGUCCAAGGUCAUUUCUGUUUGUUUGUGUAGACCAUCUCCCAUUCUCGACGGUGUCUUUAUAGUACUAUUAUGUAAGUGUCCCCUAAUCUUGGUUCCUGGUCUGCAUCUUGAUGAAGAAAAUCUGUGUCAUAUCAGGUGAAAUAUCUAGGAUAUGUCCAUAUUAUGUUUGGUGAUUUAGCUAAAAUAUC
rnacentral:misc_RNA from 1 species